GUAGGUGGCAAGCGUUGUCCGGAAUUAUUGGGCGUAAAGCGCGCGCAGGCGGGUCCUUUAAGUCUGAUGUGAAAGCCCACGGGCUCAACCGUGGAGGGUCAUUGGAAACUGGGGGACUUGAGUACAGAAGAGGAAAGCGGAAUUCCAAGUGUAGCGGUGAAAUGCGUAGAGAUUUGGAGGAACACCAGUGGCGAAGGCGGCUUUCUGGUCUGUAACUGACGCUGAGGCGCGAAAGCGUGGGGAGCAAACAGGAUUAGAUACCCUGGUGGUCCACGCCGUAAACGAUGAGUGCUAAGUGUUAGGGGGUUUCCGCCCCUUAGUGCUGCAGCUAACGCAUUAAGCACUCCGCCUGGGGAGUACGGCCGCAAAGGCUG
rnacentral:rRNA from 1 species